rnacentral:lncRNA from 1 species
AGGCUCCCACCUGGAUAACGAGGGAAUAUAGUCCAAAUUUUUGCAAUUAGGCGCCCACCUGGAUAACGAGGGAAUACAUUUCAAGUUUUUGUAAUCAGGCGCCCACCUGGAUAACGAGGGAAUACAUUUCAAGUCUUUGCAAUCAGGCGCCCCCUGGAGAACGAGGGAAUAUAUUUUAAGUAAUUGCAAUCAGGCGCCCACCUGGACAACGAGG